UACGUAGGGAGCGAGCGUUGUCCGGAUUCAUUGGGCGUAAAGAGCUCGUAGGCGGCUUGAUAAGUCGGAUGUGAAACCUCCAGGCUCAACCUGGAGACGCCACCCCGAUACUGCUGUGACUUGAGUCCGGUAGGGGACCACGGAAUUCCUGGUGUAGCGGUGAAAUGCGCAGAUAUCAGGAGGGAACACCGGUGGGCGAAGGCGGUGGUCUGGGCCGGAACUGACGCUGAGGAGCGAAAGCCGUGGGGAGCGAACAGG
rnacentral:rRNA from 1 species